rnacentral:rRNA from 1 species
UACGAAGGGGGCUAGCGUUGUUCGGAAUUACUGGGCGUAAAGCGCACGUAGGCGGAUUCUCAAGUCAGGGGUGAAAUCCCAGGGCUCAACCCUGGAACGGCCUCUGAUACUGUUGAUCUAGAGUGUGAGAGAGGUGAGUGGAAUUGCGAGUGUAGAGGUGAAAUUCGUAGAUAUUCGCAGGAACACCAGUGGCGAAGGCGGCUCACUGGCUCACAACUGACGCUGAGGUGCGAAAGCGUGGGGAGCAAAC